AUAAUUUCGACAUAUCAUGGAGGGCUCGAUAUUGAUUGAAGAUUUCUUGGGCAGUUUUGUCCUCCCAUCUUAUCUCAAAGAAUGUUUUGUCAAUGUGAGGAGCUGCAAGUGCACAAAAACAAUGAUCAUAUAGGAACGGAUAGGACAGAUCGUCGAAAAUAUUUCUACUUCAAAGAUAGGAAAACGAGUGGUUCGUUCUAAGGUUUGAUGCACUUCAUGGACCGUGAGCAUUGCAAAUUGCACAUAGCUUCUCGAGGGGCCUUUCAAGCACCGAAUUUGUGAAGUUUAAUCAAGUGGAGUGCAUCUGGCCAAGAAUGCACAUCAAUCGUAAGAGGGUUAUUGCAGUGCAACCCUGAGAUGGAAACUGCCACAAACAACAAACCAGAAUUGUGGACAUAAUGCGGUCAAUGAGGGUGGUCAUCAUGGCGAUAUUUUUUAUCAUGGGCGAUCUUCAAGCCCAAUAUCGUCACCAACGGGAUGCUCCGUGCCUGUCUGUUAUGGAAUGUAUGUCAGCAGUAGGCCGUAGUAUUUCAUUUCGUUACUUAUUAAACAUCAACCAGAUUGCCGAUCGUUGGACCAAAGGAGAUUUACUUGAGGAGGAACGAGAAGCAGAAGUGGAAGCAUUGCGAGCCAAGUUGGUCAAAAAUAAGCAGAUCUCUGCAGAGAAAGUGUCUUUGGAGAAGUUCAAGCAAUCCCUUUUGGAAUCCCGAAUCAAGGAAAUGCGUGGCGAGAAGUAUCAACUGCGCCCAAUUCCGUCUUUGACCGCAUUCUGAAAUCUGAAUGUACUCACCGUACGUGACGCCCUUGGUGCUCUGAGGUUGCUUUUGACCUCGAUACCACGACAGAUUUUGAAUGACUUGAAUCAUGAGAUUGGCUCCCAUUACACUUAGCUUAUCAGUCAA